rnacentral:rRNA from 1 species
UACGGAGGAUCCAAGCGUUAUCCGGAUUUAUUGGGUUUAAAGGGUGCGUAGGCGGCCUGUUAAGUCAGGGGUGAAAGACAGUAGCUCAACUAUCGCAGUGCCCUUGAUACUGAUGGGCUUGAAUGGACUAGAGGUAGGCGGAAUGAGACAAGUAAGCGGUGAAAUGCAUAGAUAUGUCUCAGAACACCGAUUGCGAAGGCAGCUUACUAUGGUCUUAUUGACGCUGAGGCACGAAAGCGUGGGGAUCAAACAGG